GUGCUUGGGCGAGAGUAGUACUAGGAUGGGUGGCCCCAAGUACUCGUGUUGCAAUCGUC
rnacentral:rRNA from 1 species